rnacentral:rRNA from 1 species
AACGAACGCUGGCGGCAUGCCUAACACAUGCAAGUCGAACGAGACCUUCGGGUCUAGUGGCGUACGGGUGCGUAACGCGUGGGAACCUGCCCUUAGGUUCGGAAUAACUCUCCGAAAGGGGUGCUAACAGCGGAUAAUGUCUUCGGCCCAAAGAUUUAUCGCCUUUGGAUGGGCCCGCGUUGGAUUAGCUAGUUGGUAGGGUAAAAGCCUACCAAGGCGACGAUCCAUAGCUGGUCUGAGAGGAUGAUCAGCCACACUGGGACUGAGACACGGCCCAGACUCCUACGGGAGGCAGCAGUGGGGAAUAUUGGACAAUGGGCGAAAGCCUGAUCCAGCAAUGCCGCGUGAGUGAUGAAGGCCUUAGGGUUGUAAAGCUCUUUUACCCGGGAUGAUAAUGACAGUACCGGGAGAAUAAGCUCCGGCUAACUCCGUG